rnacentral:rRNA from 1 species
UGAUUUUAUUUUAGUGGCGGACGGGUGAGUAACGCGUGGGCAACCUGCCCCAUACCGGGGGAUACCAGCCGGAAACGGCUGCUAAAACCGCAUAAGCGCACAGUACCGCAUGGUACAGUGUGAAAAACUCCGGUGGUAUGGGAUGGGCCCGCGUCCGAUUAGCCAGUUGGCGGGGUAGCGGCCCACCAAAGCGACGAUCGGUAGCCGGCCUGAGAGGGCGGACGGCCACAUUGGGACUGAGACACGGCCCAAACUCCUACGGAAGGCAGCAG